ACACUUAAAAAGAUCAAGUAUUGAUAUUCAAUACAUACACUGUAAUGCAAUUUUAGCUCCAUGUCCUGAUCCCGGAGUGCCAGGCAAUGGAAACAGAAGCGGUGAUGACUUUAGACACGCUAAAUCGGUAACCUUUAGAUGCAACGAGGAUUAUGAACUGGAAGGAGAAGCAACCAUCAGCUGUAACAAUGGAGACUGGACAAGCAAAAAACCCCUGUGUAAAGUUAUUUCAUGUAAAGAUCCAGGAAGUCCUUCACAUGGACAACAAUCGAAAGU